UGUGAGGUUUGAAAUCAAUGAGAUAUUUAGGAGCACAUUUAGACCGAGUUGAAUGACGAAUGGUAACAUUGUGCUCAUCUAGAGUAGAGGCAUUAUCAGUGGAGGUAUUAGUUAAGUUAGAUUCAACAACAUUGUUUAUAUCUGUGAUACUAUUUGUGUUUGUAGUAGUUUUACUGGAAAUACUAGUAUCAGAAGUAGUAAGCAUAGGAACAAGAUUGUUAGGAAAAUUGAUAUCAUCAUAAUCAUGACUAUAAUUGUGAGGAAUAGAUAAAGAAAGAGAGACAUUUUUAUUAGUAGAAGAAUCAUAUGAAAAAAUAUUUUCAUGAAAUAGCACAUUACAAGAAAUAUCAACCUUAUGGU
rnacentral:lncRNA from 1 species